CCUACGGGAGGCAGCGGUGGGGAAUAUUGGGCAAUGGGCGCAAGCCUGACCCAGCAACGCCGCGUGAAGGAAGAAGGCUCUCGGGUUGUAAACUUCUUUUAUCAGGGACGAAGCAAGUGACGGUACCUGAUGAAUAAGCCACGGCUAACUACGUGCCAACAGCCGCGGUAAUACGUAGGUGGCAAGCGUUAUCCGGAUUUACUGGGUGUAAAGGGCGUGUAGGCGGGAAAGCAAGUCAGAUGUGAAAACCAUGGGCUCAACCUGUGGCCUGAAUUUGAAACUGUUUUUCUUGAGUACUGGAGAGGCAGACGGAAUUCCUAGUGUAGCGGUGAAAUGCGUAGAUAGUAGGAGGAACACCAGUGGCGAAGGCGGUCUGCUGGACAGCAACUGACGCUGAGGCGCGAAAGCGUGGGGAGCAAACAGGAUUAGAUACCCGGGUAGUC
rnacentral:rRNA from 1 species